rnacentral:ncRNA from 2 species
GGCAUAACGCCUCCGUCAGGUGCCUGCCUUGCGCAGGAGAAUCGGGAAUCCGGUGGGAAACCGGAACGUGCCCAACGCUGUGAGGCGGACGCUUGGCCGCAAUUCGAAAGCCACUGGAAUUUCCGGGAAGGCGGCGGCAGGGGCGGAUGAAGCCAAGUCAGAAGACCGGCCUGGCAAGAUAGAUCGAA